AAACGUAAGAUCACUGUUCUCUCUACAGUUACUGAGCACACAGGAACUCACCAUGGGAUGGAGCUGUAUCAUCCUCUUUUUGGUAGCAAUAGUUACAGGUGUCCACUCCCAGGUCCAACUGCAGCAGUCUGGGGCUGAACUGGUGAGGCCUGGGGCUUCAGUGAAGAUGUCCUGCAAGGCUUCUGGCUACACCUUCACCAGCUACUCGAUGGACUGGGUGAAGCAGAGGCCAGGACAAGGCCUUGAGUGGAUUGGAAGGAUUUAUCCUUUUGAUAGUGAUACUAGGUACAAUCAGAAGUUCAAGGGCAAGGCCACAUUGACUGUAGACAAAUCCUCCAGCACAGCCUACAUGCAGCUCAGCAGCCUGACAUCUGAGGACUCUGCGGUCUAUUUCUGUGCAAGACACAGUGUUGCAACCACAUCCUGAGAGUGU